UCCCAGGACGGGUGUGAGUGGAAUGAAUGGGCGGGUCUGCAAUUGACGAGGGGCGGAGCAAUGGCUGUUCCUCGGAGUGGGCGUGCGUGAUGGGCCUGCGUAACUGCUAUGGAUGUGAUGAGUUUUGCUAAAUGUAAACAGAUGUGUAACCAGGACCCAAGAGUUCCCUCAGGCCCCUUUCCAAUCUUCCACGGCUUAGACAGCCACUCUGAUUUCUAUCAUCAUGAAAACAAAGAUGAAAACUUGGCUCUGGUGGUUGCCUUUUCCUUUCAUUUAUAGCAUCAUUGUUCAACAGUUCAGGAAUUUGGGCAGAUAUCAGUGGGACAGUUCACCUCUGUUUCAUGUCUAUGGUCUCAGCUGGAUUUCUCAAGAGUUUUCCCCUGCACAGCUCUAAGAUUUUAUUCAUUUAUGAGACACAGAGAUAGAGAGAGAGGCAGAGACACAGGCAGAGG